CAGUAGCCACGGGAAUACGGAGGGUGCAAGCGUUAAUCGGAAUUACUGGGCGUAAAGGGUGCGUAGGCGGUUGUUUAAGUCUGUUGUGAAAUCCCCGAGCUUAACUCGGGAACUGCAUUUGAAACUGGCAGGCUAGAGUCUCGUAGAGGGGGGUAGAAUUCCAGGUGUAGCGGUGAAAUGCGUAGAGAUCUGGAGGAAUACCGGUGGCGAAGGCGGCCCCCUGGACGAAGACUGACGCUCAGGUACGAAAGCGUGGGGAGCAAACAGGAUUAGAUACCCGCGUAGUCCCUGUCUCUUAUAC
rnacentral:rRNA from 1 species